CCUACGGGGGGCAGCAGUGAGGAAUAUUGGUCAAUGGCCGGAAGGCUGAACCAGCCAAGCCGCGUGAAGGACGAAGGUGCCAAGCAUUGUAAACUUCUUUUGUCAAGGGACAAAAUCAGGCUCGAGAGCCUGACCGAGGGUACUUGAAGAAAAAGCAUCGGCUAACUCCGUGCCAGCAGCCGCGGUAAUACGGAGGAUGCGAGCGUUAUCCGGAUUUAUUGGGUUUAAAGGGUGCGUAGGCGGACUGUUAAGUCAGCGGUAAAAGCCCGGGGCUCAACCCCGGCGAGCCGUUGAUACUGGCAGUCUUGAGUACAGUUGAGGUAGGCGGAAUUCGUGGUGUAGCGGUGAAAUGCUUAGAUAUCACGAAGAACUCCGAUUGCGAAGGCAGCUUACUAAACUGCCACUGACAUUGAUGCUCGAAAGUGUGGGUAUCAAACAGGAUUAGAUACCCUGGUAGUC
rnacentral:rRNA from 1 species